UACGGAGGGAGCUAGCGUUGUUCGGAAUUACUGGGCGUAAAGGGCGCGUAGGCGGCCCGCUAAGUCGAACGUGAAAUCCCUGGGCUCAACCCAGGAACUGCGUCCGAUACUGGCAGGCUUGAAUCCGGGAGAGGGAUGUGGAAUUCCAGGUGUAGCGGUGAAAUGCGUAGAUAUCUGGAGGAACACCGGUGGCGAAGGCGGCAUCCUGGACCGGCAUUGACGCUGAGGAGCGAAAGCCAGGGGAGCAAACGGG
rnacentral:rRNA from 1 species